ACUGCAGUCGAGCGGCAGCGAGACUAGUAGCAAUACUAGUUGUCGGCGAGCGGCGGACGGGUGAGGAACACGUAGGAACUUAUCCAUAAGAGGGGGAUAACCAAGGGAAACUUUGGCUAAUACCGCAUAAACUCGAGAGAGCAAAGCUGCCUGUUAAAGGGUGGCGCUGAUGGAGAGGCCUGCGUCCGAUUAGCUAGUUGGUAGGGUAAAAGCCUACCAAGGCGAUGAUCGGUAACUGGUCUGAGAGGACGACCAGUCACACUGGGACUGAGACACGGCCCAGACUCCUACGGGAGGCAGCAGUGGGGAAUAUUGGACAAUGGGGGCAACCCUGAUCCAGCGAUGCCGCGUGAGUGAAGAAGGCCUUCGGGUCGUAAAGCUCUUUAGGUUGGGAAGAAGUGCAUGGAGUGAAUAGCUCCGUGUGUUGACGGUACCGACAGAAUAAGCACCGGCAAACUCUGUGCCAGCAGCCGCGGUAAUACAGAGGGUGCGAGCGUUAAUCGGAGUUACUGGGCGUAAAGGGCGCGUAGGCGGUAAACUAAGUGUGAUGUGAAAGCCCCGGGCUUAACCUGGGAAGUGCAUCGCAAACUGGUUAACUAGAGUAUAUGAGAGGGUGGCGGAAUUUCCGGUGUAGCGGUGAAAUGCGUAGAGAUCGGA
rnacentral:rRNA from 1 species